rnacentral:lncRNA from 1 species
CAGAUUUGAGAGAUUGUGCUCUGUACUUGUGCAAUCUAAUUGUGUCCUGUUAGAAAGGAGAUGUCCUGGGAAACUCAGAUUAAGAGGACAGAAGCCCAAAACUAAGCUGUACAGUCAAAAACGUCUAGCUGUUUCUUGUAGCAGAUUGUGCCAGUAAGCGUCACUGAAGAGUAAUUUCAAGGGCUGGUGAAAAUAUAAGAUAAAACACUGAUUACAGGAUGACAGGUUUUCUCUGCUCAACAAUCUUUGAAUUAUUCAGAAAACUUUGCUUCCAGAGUGGUAUAUUAAUAAUACACCUAAGCAAAUAUUUUGUUGCUUAAGCUGAAAGGCAUUUUCUCCUUGAAGGGAAAGCUUCUGAAGAUGGCAGUAGAUUAACAUACCCAAAUAUCUUGAUAUCCUCAAUAGGAAGAAAGUCAAGUUAAGUUUCCUGAUCUAAAGAGUCCAGGAAAUUAAAUUCUCUCUAUGUUCUGUUUCUGAAGUACUGCAGAAACUGCUCAAGAUGGAAGGAUACCAGAGAAGAAAAACAUUGCUCAAUGUUUAAAACUUAUUUUAUUUUUUGAAAAAAGAAACAUAAUAACUUAGUCCAAAAUCAAACAACAUAAAAAGUAUACAUUGAAAAGUUUAUCCUCACCCUAUCUACUUCCAGCAAUUUCCUUCCAAUUCUAUCUGUAGUAUUUUUUCAUUUUUCUUCUUGUUUUUUUUAAAUAAAAUAAAAUAAAAU